UUUUUUUUUUUUUUUUUCCUCCUCCAUAUUUUGUUGGUGAAAAGGACAAAAGAAAAAUAUAUAAUAAAUUGACACACACAGCGAGAAAAAGAGGCAGUCGGAAGUCUUUCAUGUCCAGAAACUUAAAUAUAUAUAUAUAUAUAUAUUCAUUGUCUUAGCUGCAUUGUCUUUCUCUCGACCAUCCCGCGUCACUUGCAAUCUUCAACCUUCUCCUUCACGUAUUUUUCUUCAACUUAUAUACUCUCACUGCAUGCUUUAAAAUCCAACCAAAAUAAAAAAAAUUAACACCAUUAAUAUCGCAUAUAUUUAUACACUAAGCUACAAACUUUCAUCGUCCAAAAACCCGAUCCUUUAAAGCCAAACCAUCUCCUCUCAUACACAGACAUCGUGUUCUUUCUGUUCAUCCUCUCUGUUUCUCUCACAGGCUUCAAAUUUCAGGUUUUUGGCUGAUGGGUUUUCUCUGAAUUGUGUUGGAUUCUUAAUUGUUUGAUUUUCUUGCCUGACAAACACUUUGGAGUUUGUUGUUGUUGCUUUUGAGUUCUGAAAUGGGACCGAUCAGAGGGUCCAGGAGGAAGAAGAAGGUUGACCAGAAUGUGUUAGCUGCUUCAGACUCUCAGACCCUGGAAUGUUGGUGGGAUGGCUUCUCUCAGAGAAUUACGGGUACAAAUAUUCCUCUGUUGCUGCUUCUGUGUUUUCGCAUUAUCUUUUUACACGGGUUGUUUUGUUGGUUAAUAUGUUUUAAUCGGUUGUCUUUAAAUAUAUGCAUUGGUAAUUGGUUUGGAUAUAUAUGGUUUGUUGCUUAUGAGGGCAUUUCUUGGAUUUUUGUUUUUUGUUUUUUUUUUGAUGAAAUAUUAGGAUUUGGGUUCAAUGCAGUUUUCAGAAAUUGGAUAUUUUUGUUGUGACUAGUGAAUCAUAUUUGCAAGUGGAUUUCUGGUGGUAUAUAAUCUUACAAUCUUACAGUUCUUAGCUUCUGUUGAUUCGUGUUAUCGAGCUCUUGUUUCGUGUACUCGUUGUUGCUCAGAGCAUAGCAUUCCUAGUUUGAUGACUAUUUAGGGUAUUAUUUUAGGUUUUAUGCAUUAUUCCUUCCAUUAAAUUUAUGAUGCUAAUAUAUAACUUCGUCAACGGUUUCCUUGUUUGUAAUUCCGGUUGAUAUAUAAGUAGUUGAUUUUUGUUGAUUUCUUAUUUUGAUGUUUCUCUUAGCAGACAAUCCUGUUGGUGUUCAUGACAGCGAUUUGUUCUAAGCAUGUGUUGAAAUUUUAAAACAGGCUGCAUUAUUUUCGGUGAUUAGAUUGUGGUAUUGUGCCAUGAAUGUUUUUUCUUGAGAUAAGGUUGUGUUAUACAUUCCCUUCCCAAGUAUAUUUCUCUUCAUUUUUCUUGUGCAUUAACCUUAGGUUCCUCAAUGUGAGCAUACCUGGUCUUCUGAUUAGAUUCAGGAUAACCUGUUUGUAUCUUGGCGUUUGUAGGAUUUGCUGAGAGUUAUGGCCUAAGAGCGAUACUUUAAUAUGUUUAGAUUUUGCGGUUAACAUAAUGUUCCUGUUACGAGUACAGAUUUUUUGUUUUGGACUGUCCUACACCAGUAUUUCAAUCAAUCAAAACAAAGUGAGUGGACUGAUUUGGAAAACACUCGUAGGCAUAUAGCAGAGGGAACGGCAGACAGAGAACCAUGGGGCACCUUGGUUUUGUUUUGGUUGUGUUCUCAGAUGACAUGGUUAGGUUCAGAAAUUUCUUUAUCUUAUAUAGCGAGGGUAAUCUAUUAGUUUCAAGUUAUGCUGUUUGAUUUAACUCCUUUGUUUGAAAGCUAUACAAAGCGACGUUUUUUUAAUGAAAAAAGUGUAGAAUUCUAUGUACUUACCUCAUGAAAUACAAAAAAAUGCAGACUUCUUAAUGAAGUCUUUCCAAUUUCAUAGAAGAUAGCUUUCGUGCUGAGUAUUUAAUUCUUAUAUGCUGCUCUGUCAAACCUUUAGGGUGAUCCUUUGUGUGGAACACUACGGACCUACGGUAACUUGGUCUGAUCAGGUGGACAAGAUUAAGUCCAUAGCCACAGAACUCAAGCAACAGUCGUCCAAAAUGAGUGUCCGUAUACUUAUCUGGAUAGAGUAGGUUGCAUAAACAUUAAAAAGGAAACAGCAAUAGCUUUCAAGAGAACAUGGUAUAGGAGUUAAAAGAACGUCGCUAAACAAGUUUGGGAUCACAUUUUAUCAUUUAUUCAGGAUUUUGGUGUCUGCAGUCUUUUUUGUUAGGAAAGAUAGGUCCAUCUGCAAGUUGUACAACAGAAAGGCACAAGAUUUUGGCGAUUUGAUCAUGUACCGUAUACCUAUACCUCAAAAGAUUUAACUUUCCAGCUUUUAUGUCGAAUGUCCUCUAUGUUAUGUUCUUCACUGAGAAACUUAGAUUUGCACCUGGAAUGAAAUACAGUAAUUAAGACCUUCUUUUGUUCAGCAUAGUUCUCUUCAGUGGUUAAGGAGUUAAAGCAUAUUUUCGACCUCACUUGCGUUCGAUGAUAUUUCAGGCUAUAUUUAUAUUACUUGGCUAACUCUUGCGGUUAAAUGAAUUCUAUCCUCUUUUGCAGAGGUUUUUCUGAUCUUUUGGUUCUGCCAAGGACAUUGGCAUAAAGGUUCUGAAAUUCACAUUGAUAAAUGAUUAAAUUUUGUUUUCUACUUUCUAGGUCAAUCAAAAUCUAAAGGCGCAUUGAAAUUUGAAUCUUUCUUCAAAAUUUCGAUAAAGACAUUCGCCUACAUCUGUUCGCUUGUAAAGGAAGAUAUGAUGGCCAGGUCAACCUUCUGCUACUCAAAUAACAAGCCAUUAUGUCUGAAUGACCAAGUUGCUAUCGCUCUUAGGAGGCUCAGCUCGGGUGAUUCUUUGUGCAGCAUCGGUGAAUGCUUUGGCAUGAACCAAUCCACUGUUUCGCACAUAACCUGGCGGUUUGUGGAAGUAAUGGAAGAAAAAGCUCUGCACCAUCUGUCAUGGCCUAAAGAGCAGGGUGAAAUGGAGGAGAUAAAGUCCAAGUUUGAGAAAAUUCGCGGCCUUCCAAAUUGCUGCGGUGCAAUUGACAUCACACACAUCAUGAUGACUCUGCCUUCAGCGGACUCAUCAGAUGAUGUCUGGCUCGAUGGCCAGGAAAACUGCAGCAUGAUCUUGCAGGCAAUUGUUGAUCCAGACAUGAGGUUCCGUAACAUAAUCACAGGAUGGCCAGGAAGUCUGAGUGAUGACAUGGUCCUUAAAAGCUCAGGUUUUUUCAUGAUGUCCGAAGAAGGAGAUUACUUAAAUGGGGAGAAGUUAGUGCUUUCACAAGGAACGGAAGUGAGAGAAUACGUAGUAGGAGAUUCCGGCUUUCCUCUCUUGCCGUGGCUUCUCACUCCUUACAACAGAAGAGGCCGCCUCUGGGAGCAUGAGUCUGAUUUCAACAAGCGGAUUUUUGCAACGCAGAUGGUGGCGCAAAGGGCGUUGGUGUGGCUGAAAGAGACGUGGAAGAUAAUUCAAGGCGUCAUGUGGAAGCCGGAUAAGAACAAGCUGCCGAGGAUUAUUCUUGUUUGCUGUAUACUGCACAAUAUAGUGAUUGAUAUGGAGGAUAAGGUGCAAGAUGAAAUGCCAUCGUCUCGCCAUCAUGAUCCCGGUUACCAGCAACAAAUUUGUGAAUCUGCCGCUGACGAUAUGGCGUUUCAACUGAGAGAGAAUCUCUCAAUAUACUUAGCCGGAAGAUUGUCUCCCUGAGGAGACCAGACCCUUGGUUGCAUCCUGGAUGGUGGUUUCAUUGGUUUUUACUUUUUGUAAUCUUUGCCAGUUGAAAUUGGAGAGUUUAUAAUCUUUGGGAUUUUGCUUUCUUCUAUAGAAACUGUCUUAACAUGGUUUAGUUGAAAAAAUGACACCAUAUAAAUAUGGUUCUUUAGCAUUCUGAGUAUCUAUAUGUUAGUGUGUGUUACUGUCACAUUUGUGUUAUUGAUCGUCUUAUAAUGUGUGGAUAAAUAAGGUUGAUAUGUCACGAACUUUAAGUAUAAUAUUAAUAAAUAAAUAUGUAUGUUAUAAGAUAACUGAACUGAUAAUACCGCGUAAUGGUUGAUGACAAUUACACAAAAACACUUCUCUUAUUUGGUUAAAGGCCUAAUGGAAAAGAGAUGCUAUUUUCGAGGACAUUGCCGUUUUGAUUAUCCAGCUUUUUAGGGGACUUAAGUUAAAACAUCCAAAAUAUCCAGUACUCCGGAGCACCAAAUUUUUUUGGCUUCUUUAGUCCCACAUUACACCAAAACAUGACAAUGCUAGUCUAAGACAUCUACGUUCUAGCUUCUUGGUUCGGCAUUACACCAAAAACAAAACAAUGUCAGUUCGACUUAGACUAAGCCAACACAAAAAACAUUAUUCCUACAAGCGGUCAAGUCCAAGAUAGUCAUGCGUAAAAAACAAGCAUUAGUGAGACUUAACGGUCCUCCUUAGGUUUAAAAUUAACAAUGAGUUUGGAAAUACUUUUACCACGUGGCCACGUCGACUCAAAUGGGACCGCAUGCAGGGGAUUUGUGAGAUAAAAUGAGGGCAAAAAGGGAGGCCACUUUCCCUACUAAAAUGCAAGCAGGACACAAGUGAUAUCCAUUCCAAUAAACCACCAUAUUGGUUUUAUAUAUCAAGCCUAAAUGAGGUACCAAUAAUCUACGAAUUACAAGUCGAAUCAUCAACGAAGUACAAUAGUAAACCAAAUUGACGAUCAUAGGGCUCUAAACAUGUCACUGUAAAGAACAGAUUGUAUAGAUGAACCUCGUUUCAUCGACGAUGCUUUUCGUUCAAUUAGCACGGCUUCUAAUAACAUCGAGACCCACUUCGGUAGGAUCAGUAGCCUGCAACUCCAUCUGAAUUCCGUCCAACUCUCUCUUAAACGUGUCCUUUGAACUCGCGUAAAUCAUCUUGCUUCUCACCUUCGCUGUGUCAGGGGACCUUCAUACAUAGAUCUUAAAUGAGUGCAACAGCCAAGGAACAUAUAAUGAUAUAUACAUUUAGAGUAAUGAACGAGAUCUACAACGCCUAGAACUCUACACUCUAAUUAGUUACCAAGCAACGAAAAUAAUCCGGCUCUUCCGGCAGUUCUCCUCCGUCACGUAAUCAAAGUCAUAAACAGCGUAUCGGCACUCGUUAGCAGGGAGGCUUGCAGAGAAAUCCUCAUAGCUGUCAGUUGGUUGGCCAAGCUUUUCCACUAUGACCUCAUUUUGCUUCUCCUCGAUCUUGUAAACUAUGAAGCGGUAAGUUCUUUUUGCCUUCAAUUCUAAAAAUUUUAUCUUGCACUCGUCGUGUACAGCCAUCCCUGAUCGUGCGUUCGCCUACGAAAAUUCAACAAAUACCAAAAUGCAUCAAAUACCCACAAUGCAUCAGUACUAAAUUAGCAAUUGUAUGGCUACACAGAAGUUUUCACUUCAUUCCUCCAAUCACGGAACAAUUGAAAACAUACAGCAACAUUCCAAAUAUCCAAAACCAAAACACACCUUGCUAUUUUCCCGUCACGGUUUAUCAACUCUCGGUUCAUAGUAAAAGCUAAGAAUUACUGGUUUCUUCAAGCAUCUCAUAAUUCCAAACUAUUAACAAACCAAAUGAUUGAUAAAUCACUGACAUACUUAUACCUGCCAUUGAAAAAUUAAUCACCACUACACCAAGCAAAAGAAGAAGAAAAAACCAACAAAUGUGGAACAAAUGCUACGUAAGGUUCAAUUUCUUAGGACUCGUUUGGAAAUGCUUUUAAAAUUAUGGAAAGCGCUUAUGAUGAAAAUACUUUUGGAACCAAUAAAAUAGUAAUAGAAUCCUAGGAAAUCACUUUCUUGCUCCAUGCAAGAAUCACUUUGCAGGAAACACUUUAAAUGUUUUUGGAACCCAAAAGCAUUUUCUCUAAAAAGCGCUUUCAAUUAUUUUAAAUAAGUAUUUUUAGCCAUUACACUAAUCAUAAUUCAAAUUAGUCAUCCAAGUUAAAGGCAAAAUGUAAAAUUCAGGCUUAAAAUUAUGGAAAGUGCUUAUGAUGAUAAUACUUUUGGAACUAAUAAAAUAGUAAUAGAAUCCUGGGAAAUCACUUUAUUGCUCCAUCAACAUGCAAGAAGCACUUUGCAGGCAACACUUUAAAUGCUUUUUCCAAAAGCAUUUUCUCUAAAAGCGCUUUCAAUUAUUUUAAAUAAGUAUUUUUAGCCAUUACACUAAUCAUACUUCAAAUUAGUCAUCCAAGUUCAAGGCAAAAUGUAAAAUUCAGGCUCAAAAUAUAAUCACACCAAAAAAAUCAAAAUUCAUGCUUUGUGAUUGCAAAACACAAAAUCCACAUAUACAACAGGCACUUAUUGCAAAAUUAUAAAAUCAAAUCAAAAUUAAAAUGCAUAUGCAACUGUACAAACUCAUAGAAUAAUCGUCGUUGGAUAAUCAAAAGGGAUGCGAUUCCACCAUCAACUUCUAAUUUACCCACCAUUUCAUGAAUUUCUCACAAUCAAGCAAAAAAAUUUCAAAAAAAUUGAACACCAAAAUCGCACAUAUAAUCAUACUGCAGAGGAUCAUCAAUCCAGAAAAGAACUGAAAUUAUAACACAAGCCAAACCCCAGAGAGAGAGAGAGUGAGUGAAGUAGAUGAAGUGCUCACCAUUUUCCCGAGAAAAUAUUGGCGGAGAGAGAGAGAGAGAUAUAAAUGGAUAGAGUCUCAGCGGUGGAAGAGGAGGGCUGCGGGUCGUGGCAAGAAUAUGUGGGAGCCUUCCGCCUUCGGAAGAGUUGCUAAUAUCACCGUCACGGCAGAGAGAAAUUGGGCGGUGAUCCAACGAUAGUUGAACACGUGUUCUACGUUGUGCAAUUACUAUGAGAGAUGGCAUGUGAUUCACGUAAAGUAAAACGGGCUCUCGUACAUUUGGUUUUGCUUCCAUGGGCUUGGCCCAAACGUUAGCUCCUGGUCCAAGACUCCAUGCAAUCGAAAAUUUUAAAAAAUGAAAAUUCCAACUUUUAUUCAUGGAUAGUAUUCGGGUUUAUCUCUUUAUAUUUAUGUUGUGUUUGUAUUAAAUUAAAAAUUGAUCAACAUGUCGAAAGACAUAAAAUAAUGCAUCGAUUGUUUGGAAGUAUUUUUUAAAAUGAUUAAAAGCGUUUUUGGUGAAAAUGUUUUAGAAACCAAUCUUAGUACAGAUACAUAUGGAUCUUGAAAAAAGUGUUUUUUUCAAGAAGUACAUAUCUGAUGUUUUUUUUUUCUUCAAAUUUUGAAACCUAAAAUCAAUUCCACCAAAAGUUCAUUUCAAAAACACUUCCAAACGAGUUCAUAAUAAUAAGGCAAAUUAUAAUAAUUAUUAGAUAAAAAAAUACGUAGUUUUAUAAAAUUCAACACACACACCCAAUUUCUCGAAUAUACGAAGCAGCUCAUACAAAAUACAUACAAUUGCACACCCCAACUGUAAUAAAAUCAUUUACGAGUAGAAUUAUCUUAUAAAAAUAAUCUUGAACAAUUCAUAAGCUACAAUUCAGAAUGUUCGCUUCAUCAAUAAAUAUGUCGAAUGAACUAUCUUUACUUAAUUCUUGAAUGGAUUCAAAUAGCACUGUCAAAUUGUUAGGCGCAGUGAAAUUUGGAGUUCCACUCCAAAAUAGCUUGGCAAACUGCUGGUUGGCACUUUUAGUUGCAUGAGCAGAGUCAAAGAAGAGAUGUUCACUAAGGCCAUCUCCAAUCGAAUGUUGGUCAAAAGAUUCGUUUUAGCCUUCUAGUCCUCCAAAAUAUUCAUAUUUUAAUUAACAGUACAUGGGCCAUAUUUGCCUCUAUCUCCAACCGAGGGCUAAAGGGUCAUAGGGCUCGUUUUAGUCCUGUCACAAAAAACCGUCUCCAACCGAGGGCCAAACAUAAUUUAUUAUUUAAAAACUACAACUUAAAUUCAAAUCCAACAGCUAAGUGAUGUCAGCUAGCCAUUGGUAGCUGAUGUCAGUUAGCCGUUGGAUUUGAAUUUUUUUUUACUAUAAAUAGGGUGGAUAUUGGGCUAUAAUUCACACAACUUUGAAUUCAAUUUAUUUCAAUUCAAUAUCUUUCAAUUCAAAUUUGCAAUGAAUUCCAACUUUGAAUCCUCUUCGGAUUCCAACUGGGGGUCCUCAUCCAAUUCCAAAUUGGAAGAAAAAUAGGCGCAAAUGAGACAAGAAGAUGAGGAGUCUGAUGAAGAAGUUCAAGUAAGGCACAACAAACAAAACAAAGCAGCAGCCAUGGUUGCGGCCAUGGCGUGUCAGCUAACUGAGGAACAACCUCAAUGGGGUGGCUUUGUUACUGGUUGCUCUUACAAACUACAAAACAGAGUGAUGGCGCAUGCCAAACGUUGUUCAGAAGAGGAUUUCAAACGUUGCUUCCGGAUGAGGCGUCAUGUCUUCAAGUGUUUACUUCGAGAAAAUUUGGACUCCAUCAUGAUGUCUUGCAUCAUAUUACACAAUAUGAUAGUGGAGGAUGAGCGAGAUGGGUAUAUUGAUGGAGAGUUCGAUAAUGACCAAGAAGAUCCAAAUAGGUCAAGAAGGACUCCUGCAAAAAUAUAUGAUGGGCCUAAUUUGCCUUUCAAUCCAAGAACUGGUAGUAUCUCUAUAAAUGAGUACAUGAGGCGCUAUAGAAUGAUACAUUCUCGUGCUACAAACAAGUACAUACAACAGAAUCUUGUUGCAUAUCUUUGGGCCAAAAAUAGCAUGGAGUAAGCGUUUAAGUUUUAUGUUGUUAAAUGUUUUUAAAAAUGUUGUUUUAGUUUCAUGUUGUUAAAUGUUUUUUUUAUGUUGUAUAAUUUUUAUGUUGGUUAUGUUAUUUAAUGUUAUUUCAUAUUGUUUAAUGUUGUUUCAUAUUACUUAAUUUAAUUUAAUGUUGUAUAAUGGCUUAGGAAGUUAUAGGGAAAAAAUAGAAUUUUAAAAUAUAUGAAACAAAAUUUGUAAAAUAGAAGUUAGAGGAAAAAAAUAGAAUUUAAAAAACAUAUGAAACAAAUCUUGUAAAAUAGAAGUUAUAGGAAAAAAAAAAUAUAAUUUAGAAAAAAUAUACAACAAAUUUUGUAAAAUAGAAGUUAUAGGAAGUUAUAGAAAAAAAAUAGAAGUUAUAGGAAAAAAAUUGUGUAAAAAAAAAUAAAAAUAAAAACCGUAAAAAUAAUAAAAUAAAAAAACGGCUAGCUGACGUUAGUUAGCCGUUGCAUUUGAAAUUUGGCCUAGAAUUUCUGUCAGAUAUAACCGACAGAAAUAUAUAAAUAUAUUCAUGUCGGUUAUAUUCGACAGGAAUGCUAGAAUUUCUGGCCCAGCCCGGGGCUGGCUGGAUUGGGCCAGUUAGUUGGCCCUUUCAAAUUCCGUGGGGCCCACGAGCCCUCUGGUCUAGCCCUCGGUUGGAGACGAUUUUUAGACUAUUUUCGACCCUCUGGACCUUUUGCUUGGAGAUGGUCUAACAUUGUCACACAAAUAGUAGUCUUUGACACCUCUCCUUACCCCACAACUAUAAACUCAAUAUGGAGCACAGCCGAAACAUGCCACUUUCCCUUCCUUCAAACCUUUGACAACAAUAUCACAAGCUCAAAAUUUUAGAAGUAAAAAAACAAAAAGUGAUUAUUCAUUUAUGAGUUUUUCCAGAUUGAUUUUGUGAAAAGUCCCACUUUCAAAAGAAUAAUUCAAAUUUUAGAGUGGUUGUGCUGGUUAGAAAUGACGUUUCGCUGUGAUUUUUUUGCUCUGCAUCUCACACAGUAAUUUUUUUCAUCUUCUUCCUUGUAAUUUAAGUUAAUUUAGUGUAAACUUUCGCUUAGAUAAAAAAAAUUCAAUGCUUAAGAUUAAAACAAACAAAAAAAAUCCUAGGUGCUGUUUCUUAUGGAAAAGAAUUGAGACUUGAAUUCAAAAGUAGAAAUAGGGUGACCAUUCUCAUUCAUGAGCACUGUAUAUAAUAAUGCUUAUCAGAUGGCUGUUUAUUUGUCAAAUACUGACAAGUUGACAACUGAGCAAGCCAAGCAACGAUUCUGCAUGUAUCACUUCAUCAACACAUGCAUAUCAGAUAUCUUUGAUUAAUUCUUGAUUGGAUUCAAAUAGUGCUUUCAAAUUGUACGGCGCAGCGACGUCGGGAUUUCCACUCCAAAAUUGCUUGGCAAACUGCUCGUAGGCCUUUUCAUUUGGAUGAGCAGCGUCAAAGAAAAGAUAUUCAGUAACAUUGUCGCAUAAGUCAUACUCUUCGAUACCUCUCUUCCCUCCACAGCUAUUAAUUCCUCGAUAUGGACCAGUGCCACAACAUGCCAUCUUCCCUUCCUUGAAACCUUUGCCAACAAUAUCACAAGUCAAAAGAAAUAAUAGGAAAAAACGGAUUAGUCAAUCUCAAGUUUUCCAGAUUGAGUAAUAUUUAAGUUGCUUUUUUCUUGAAAGUUUCAUGUCAGUUUUUUCAGAUUGACAUAUAUAUACUAUACGAAUGUACGGAUAAUGUGAAUCCCGAAAUGAUGCAUUGUUUUGUUAUUUGCAGGUUUUGACUUCGUUCCCCCACUUGUAUUUAUUUUUAUCGCUCUUUAUUAUUUAAUAAAAUUAUGGAGAUAGGGGAUGGAUGGGUCGUUCUAUUGGGGAUUUAGCCAUUUCUAAUCGCUCUAGGGGCAGGGAAAUUGCCUACUUUGUAAUUGAUGGCUAAAUCCCAUGGUCUGGUCUUUUUUGACCAUCUUGUGUGCGAGUUUGGAGAGUAUAGCUACUAUAGUAGACUAAUAACCAAACUUUAUAUGUAACUCGACUCGUCUAAUCCAUUAUCAUCCUUUUAUUUAAAAAAAAAAAAUCUUGCUUCCCAUUAAAUGAUCUAAACAAUGCAUAUUCAUAAUAACGAAAGAGGAUUAAGGAAGUUGAUAUACCAUAUUUGGAAGGGUGAUUUAUUCUCUGUGUAAUAAACUUGUUAAAAUCGGAGAGUGAAUAUCUCCCGUGAGUUCACUCUCUAGCUUUUUCAGGAGUUUGAAAAGUGCUUUGUUGUGUAGUUUCACGUAUGGUGUAAGUUCUUCGUAGCAUGCAUCAUUUGGUGUAGAUCCUAGUGCUUUUCCGUAGGGAAUACAACCAAGAUCAUACAUGUUCAUAAACCCAAAAUUUCUUCCUCCUUCGUUAUAUAUUUCCUGCCACAAAAGUAAUAUUUAUUAGUACUCUAUGUGCAUAUAUAUAAUGAAACAUUUUCUCAAAGUGCUAAGAAUUUACUUUGAUCACUGUAGUUAUGUUGCCGAUCACCAGGCCUCUAAAUUCCUCAUGGGAGUAGGUUCGAAGCACACUGGAAUUUGUAUCGAAAGGGAAAAGGUAAUCGUAGCCCAUAAUAAUACGCAGAGCUUCAAUCCCAAAAUUUAAGGCUGGGCCAUUGUAGAGAGACAUAGCCACAUCUGGCUCUGACAUAGUCCGAGUGGUUUUUUCGGUCGAUUAAUAUAUUGUCACGUGUAAGUUUUUUUGGAAGGAAUACAAUAUGCACUUCACUCUUUCUAUAUGAAUGUUCAAAGAAACAUAAAAAAUUUCAAAACUUGAUUAAGAGUGGUUAUUGCAAGAGGUAAUAGGAGAAGGCGGAAAUCGCUCUCCUAUUUUUUUCUCGAAACUUAUAUGGUGUUUAGAGUUGCAGAAAUACUGGUGUGAUACCCAGACCAUAAUUAUAAAGUUUGAAUUGAAAUAUAUAUCACAACAUAGCUAUACCUCCCUCUGGUUUAGAUGAAUUCUCUCAAUUAUCUCUUCGAAUUAAUCGAUAAUGUUAAGUAUGAUUAAAAAGGAAAGCAUUGAAGUAAAGCAGCUUUUCUCAAAAGUGAUAUUUAGGUGAAGCAUUAACAUAUAGCUUAGGUGCUUAGUAGUUAAAUGUAGCACUAGAAGUUAUUAGCUAUGACAAUUUUUCUUGACGGAGCAAGAUGAUCAGAACCCUCUUCCAUAGUCACUUUCUGAGUAAUUGACACAGGAACCAAGCAAAGGCCUUUGCUUCUGAGGUCAAGCGCCUGCCCACUCCCAGAUUCCUGUUGAAAAUUUCAAAUUUGUGAGAAAAACUUAAUAAGAAUUUAAAAUAUCAUGGAAAAUAUACGUAAAUAGGAUCAGAUACGAAAUUUGAAUCAAAAUUAAAACUGAGGGACAAUAAACGGAUAGUAAGUUGUAUCUAAACUGUUGUUUAGCUCCUCUUUAUGUUGACAACCUGGUGCCCUUUUUCGUUUUGGAUUAAAAAUUUGUAACUGGUUCGAUUUGUUUAUGUGUCCCAAAUAUCUUAUGUAUAUGUCUUCAAAUUAAUUCAAGUGCUUGCCGUGCGACCUGUGAGUGAAGAGCCGCAGCAUUCUUGUAUGAAUUACCAAGCAUCCUUAGCAGAUUCUGCUACAAAAAUUAAAAACAAAAACAAAAAACCAACAAGCAAAUUUAGCAACUAAAACCUAUCUGCAGCAUAUGAAAAUGAAGAUAUUAAUUAUAAGUUUAUUACCAUAAUUACUUCACUAUAUGUAUACUUAAUACCUGAAUUUGUUCUUGGAGGAGCAUGAUAUAUGUGGAAGCCUCUUGAAGAACUGAGGCAGUGUCAGUCUGUAAUAUUAUUAUAAGUUAAAAUCUUAGUUGUAGUUAUAAUUUACAGAAAAUGCAAUAUCAAUUUUUUCUAUUUAUGCUAAUUACCUUGCCAUAGGGGGAAACCAAUUUUUGGAGAGCUGUGAUUUUGUCACUAAGCUUUUGGCUUCUUCUCACAGGCACAUGAUGCAACUUCUAGCCAAAAAAAAUAAAAAAUAAAAAAUAAAACAAACAAACAGCAAAAGUUCAACAACAAAUCCAUAGCUUAAUUAAAUGUUAAAUUAACACAUAUAAAAUUUGAUUAAUUAGGAUACCUUAUUGUUUUGUUGCUCCAUUGAGUUUUCUUGGAGCUGUUGAUGCCAAUAUUGUUGUUGAGAAUUAUUAUUUGUCAUCUUGCUUCUCUUAUUUUUGUAUAAUUCGUUGAGAGAUGUUCUGUCACCAACAAGACCACCAAAGUCAUCAACCUCAAUUGGACGUUUCCUUGCAUUUUGUAUGGCCUGGCAAUCCUUCAAGGAUUUUACAAAAUGGAACAAAUUAGGGAUUGAAGCAUGGUUAUAUCACACAAAUUCUACCAGAUAAGAUGCAAAUAAAAUGGAAUCGUCUUCACCCCCAUUUGUCUUCAAUUUCCAAAAAUACUUUGGGAAGUAUUGCCAUAAUGUUUGAUAUUACCCGACCCGAGUAUGACCUUUUCUUAAAUGUGUAGUUCGGAUACAUAUUCUCACAAUAUAAGAUACAUGUCGGUCAAAAUUUUAUUUGUGUAAGACCUAUCGUGAGAUAAUCAUCUGUAACUAAAGAUGACGUGAACGAUUGACAUUAACAAUGAUCAGGUUAUUCAUUUAGUUUGAAAUGAAGGACUAGUGAAAUUUGAAAUUGAGGAAAUUCUUGUUAGUUGUUGAUUAGGAACUUAGCUACAGACUAAUUAAGAAGAUCAUUGGAUCAACAUACUGCUUGAAAUUGGGGGGCUGAAAUCUUUUUGUCCAGGAACAUUGACUGCUCUGAAAUGUCAUCAUAUCUCAACGAACCAGAUGGAUAAUUAACUGCAAUCAGACAAGGUAAUUACUGCAAAUUAACCAGGUUCUUGUGUGAAUUAUUAGAGUUCACUAAAUUACAAAAUCAAGAAAAAUUGGUAAAAAAAUUAGGCAGAAAUUAGAAAAGUUGCUCCUGAAAUGGAAACAGAUGGAAAAGGAAAUGCACCAAACCUGGAGGUUGAUAGGUAAUGAGGGAUGAUGACUGCUGCAGAGGAAGAGAAUAGUCUGCAGCUCUCAUGUUAUCAUGGUUGUCACUUUCGAAUGCGUUGGAUCCCAUGCAAAACCCACUGCCACCACGACAGGGGGUAACAAUUAUUAUUUGGAUAAAUAAUUAAACUAAGAUUAAUAUAAUAACCCCAAUAAUAAUCAAAAUGAAAAUCUAAUUAGUUGCUAGGGGACAGUCUUUGUCAUUCUUCAGUUCUUGAGAUUGUAUUUGAUAAGUACGAACAGAAAUAGAUGAGUAAUCUAAUUGGGAGGAUGAGGUUAUUAUAUAUAAUUUCUCAAAAUAAGGAGAUUAAUUCCUAUAUAUCUCCACAAAUGUUUAAAUUUAGGAUAAAAGCUUGAAAAGGAUAGAGUGCUUACAUUUUACUGUUCAUGUCCAUUUGUGCAUCCCAAUUUGUCAUCUGAACAUCAAUAUUGUUUUCUGAAGAAAUUGAGAAAUAAUUGAAAUAAUCUUAUGCUCAAAGUAAACAAUACUAAUUAAGAUUUGUGAUGAUGAUUACCGCAGCUGUAAAGAUGGGAGGGUAGAGAUGGAAGGAGAUCAGUGUUUCUCAUUUGAGCCCAAAAAAUCCAAUCAUGCAGAGAGAGUUGAUCUUCUAUUGAUUUUUGAGACACUAGAAUUCUUCUAAGCCCAGAAACUGAAACACAUACAGAAACAAAAUGUGAUUUAACUGAGAGCACAAUGCAUGCAAAAUGAAUCAAGAAGAACCCACAAAAGUGAAAAAUGAAAUGAAAAUUCUAGAAACCCAAGAUUACUUGAAAGAGCAGAUUCUCUAUAUAUAUAUAUAUAUAUCUCCUUAUCAUAGCACCCAUCACGUGACCUGAUCAGGUGAUGAGUACUACACUCGCAAGAGUUUAUACUCCCGGUGAGUGUUUUCCACUCUGAAGACAUUAUUUGAAAGCUAAUCCAUUUCCUCACCUCGGAUCUCUUGAAACGAAAAGAGCUAGACCUGAUGAGCUGAGAACUUUUCCCAGAUGAAUUAGUAUAUAUUCUGUAGUGAAAAGGCGUGACCUUGAACCUUCCCUUGAGUGCAGCAACGGUUCUUUUCCUUUUGUAGAAAAAUGUUGUGAGAAGAGGUUAUAUAUAAUUAGUAACUGUAUGAAUCAUGAUCACGAAAGGAAUAUGAAACGUCCAGGUGACUCAGAACCUUAUAUUAUAAUAGUAUAUUGGCCGGGGCGGCUCUCUCUCUCUUUCACUAGCAUGUUUACUGUUUGCUUUCGCUUUCGCUUAAUUUGACUUGAUUUCUAUAUCAAAUUAUAUGAGUCGAAAAUGACUGGUUAUUUUACUACUUGAUGCAGCUGCAUAGUCAAAGCUAAAUAAGAUGAUGGAACGCUUGAUAAAUGACUCACAUUUUGACUCGGUUUCUUUUCUGUUGCAAACUCUAUAUUGCACACGGUUGCAUUCGUAUAUCCUUCGGGGUUUUUUAGCAUGGACCGAGCAUAGUAUGCACUGGAAACUUCGACUGUUGAAACCUUAGUUGCUAAAUCAUUGGAUAUGCACAUCUAGUCGUUUAUUCAUCUAAUUCAAACUAGCGAUCCAUACUAGAAUUUCGAUAAUUUCAGGGUAAUUGAUGGAUAUGUACUGUACUUUGAGUAUGUGCAAUCAUAAUUCAAAGGCAUGGAUGUGGAUGAGCCUACUCAACAUCCGAAUGUGUUGCAAGAAUAUUUUGCAAUAUUUAAAUUGAAUAGUUCACUACUAAUAGCAUUGAGGCCUUUUAAGAAAAAACUCUCCAAGCUGGUAGGUUCUUUUGGCUCCGUUUACCUUCGCAUUGAAAUUUUAUUUUAUUUUCUUUAACCUAAGCGGUUAAGUUUAAUACAAUAUCAGUACUGGAUGGUUAAUUAAUGUGUUGUGCAACAAAGGAUAUUAGAGACGCUUUGAUGAUCUGUUGAUGGAACUCAAAUUGAUGUUCUAACAUAAUUGUCAAGCCUAGAUGAACUGCAGAAUGAGGGGAAUAUAUUGAGAGGACAGCAAUUUCGGAUCACUUACUGGAACUGAAUGUGGGUCUAAAAUUAGGCCAUUGUUCUAAUUUUGAUAUUUGUGAGUGAGCAAUAUCCUGAUUAUGAUCUGUUUGUUUUCAUAGUCUUUCACGUGAAUAUAUGGAUUUUUUAGAAGCUUUUUCUAAUUUUGAUAAUAGCUAGGGAACCAGGUAAUUAAUAAUACAACUUUGGAACUAUUUUCUUUCGGUUGAUUCUUUUAUACCUAAUUUUCUGGGUGCUAUCAACUCAUAGGCAGAAAAGGGAUGAAAUUGCUACUUUAGUAGUACUCUAUUGAGUUCAUUGUUUCAGCUAGUAUUACUUAUGAAAUUGAAUCUGCAACUUAUAAGUGAGAAAAAACAAAAAAAAUAAAAAGCAUCUUAAUUCAGGCUGGUUUGGUAUUGCUGUGCUUUGAAAAAAAAACUGUUUCUGCUGUGCUGUGAGAAUAAACUUAUUUUGCCCGCUUCACGUUUUCAGUUUUUUUUCACCAAAAACUAUGAAAAUAAGCUAUUUUUAAGUGUUUACCAAACACAUUUUUUAGCUCAACUUUUUUUUAUACCCACUUUUUAUAAAAUCACACCAGUAUCAAACCAGUACUUAAAACAUCAUGAAUAAGCCAAGGCUAGUCAAUCUGGAUGUUUGGAUAAUUAUAUCAUUUGGUAUUGCAUUAAUAUUAGAAUUUGGAGACGUUCUUAGGAAAUACAAAAGUUCCAAACAAUUUAAAAGUGAAAGGCAUUCUACUUUUUGGAAUAGUUUUUUGGUGUGUCUGUUACACUGUCACGUAAUGUUACUAAUUAGUUUUUCAGUAUGAUAAUUACUAUGUCACAUAUAAUAUUACUAAUCUAUAAACUAUAAUAUGUAUUUUCUCCCGGCCCUAUAAAUUAAAUUAAUAGGCUUAAAUGUCAAAAUGGUCCCCGUGUUUUACUAUAUCAGUCAAUUUAGUCCCUGCGUUUUCAAUUUGGCCAAAUGGGUCCCCGUGUUUACAUCCAUUAGCCAAUUCAAGACAAUCGGUUAAAGAACCGUUAAAAUUGGCACGUGCAUGGCACAUGAGAGGACAAAAACAUAAUUUUAUUGUACCCCCACUAAACAUACGCAAUAUACGAUGCCUAUAUUUUGAAAUUGAUGAUUCGUUUCAAUUCACUUGAAUACUAAGCAAUUUAGGGUUUUAACAUCCAUUUGAUCAGAAAUCCAGAGAUUAUGGGAUUGCCGACUGAGUUCAACAACGUCACACUUGAUGUUCGAACAUAACCUAUGCCUAGCCCACAUGUUUGAAUCCCUCAUUUCAACCAAUCUCUAGAGUAGUCACCAAAAGCUCAGUCAGCAACCCCACAAUCAUUGGAUUCCGACCAAAUGGAUGUUGAAACCCUAAAUUGCUUAGUAUUCAAGUGAAUGGAAAUGAAGAAUUUAUUGCAGUAGGUUCUGUUGAAAUGUCCCACAUCGUAUCAAUGAGAAAAGAAAAGUUUAAAUAUCAUAACCCCACUUCAACUAACACCGAGGCCUUUUGUGAUAAACCCCACACCUGACAGAUUGUGCAGGUGGUAAUUACCAAGUUUGGGACAAUAUCGAUGUUGUUGGAAGUGGGCCAUAUGGUAUGUCUCUCUGAUAAUUAUACAUGGUAUCAGGGCCAGGGAGCGGGCCCGUACUGUACUACCACGUGAUGGGUAGGUCCCCUUAAGCCUGUGUGAUGAUGGUGGGUCUCUUGGCCCCGUGUGUAGGGUGAGUCAUCUUGGCUCUACAUGGUUGUGGUUGUCGAUACGUGGAUUUCCCACGUGUGACCCACUAAUUGGGUCUCUCAUGAGGGGGAUUGUUGAAAUGUCCCACAUCGACCAUAUCAAUGAGAAAAGAAAGAGUUUAAAUAUCAUAACCCCACUCCAACUAAUAAUGAAGCCUUUUAUGAUAAAACUCCACACCUGACGAAUUGUGCAUGUGAUAAUUACCAAGUUGGGGACCAUAUCGGUGUUGUUGGAAAUGGGCAGUAUGGCCCGUCUCUCUGAUAAUUCUACAGGUUCAUGUGUACAAAUAAAAUUACAUUUUUGUCCUCUCACGUGCCAAGCACCUGGCAAUUUUAAUGGUCCUUUAAAGGAUUUUCUUGAAUUGGUUAACGGAUGUAAAUACAGGGACCUAUUUGGCCAAAUUAAAAACAAAGGGAGUAAACUAGCGGAUAGAGUAAAACUCAUGGACCAUUUUGACAUUUAAUUCCAUCACUUUGCUAUGAAAAGGAUAAAGCUAAGGAGACCAAAUUUUUAAACCAAGUUUGCAAACCAAACAAUGUGUUUGUUGAUAAUUAUAUUAUUACUUAAGCAUUGAUUAACAUGCUUAUUUCCUAUUUGUGACACAUCAUUUGGUUUGCAAUUUUAGUUUAAAAUUUUAGUCUUCUUAUCAUUACCCAUAUAAAAUAUUUCUCGAAAGAAUUAGACUAUAUAUUAAUUUGUCUUCUGUGCCUGGUCUUAUUAAAUUGAUUCCACUUAUUAACAAAGCUUAAUUUUGACCUCUUCGCAAAAUUGGGUUGAAAGUUAAUUGACCAAUGUCCAUUAGCAUGAUGCAAAUUAAUUAACAAUAAUUAAUCACCAUCUCUUUUUCUUGUUUGGUGGGUCAUUCUCCGACCGUCCUAGGUGUCAUAGUUGUUAAUUAUCCUAUCUCUAUUAAUAAUAGGGAGUUUUAAUGAAACAUUUCUAGUACUAUUCAUUUUUAACGAAAAUGAUAUUUUUCCUCUAAAAAGUCACUUCUGGAACUAUUCACUUACAAUACAUUUUUGUUCUUUUGAUUAAAACUCAAAGUUUUCAAGUCUUUUUCAUUAAUUUUUUUUUAAUAAUAUAGUUCGGCAAAUAAUGUUAUAUAAUAUAAUAUUAAGAAAUAUGCUCGAUGACAUUGUUAAUAUUUUUUGGCUUAUCAAACUUUUAAUCAAAAGGGUUUACGAGAAGUUGGGGAUUAAAAGAACAAAGAGUACGUUUUCUAGUUGUUGUGUUUACUUUACAUAUUGAUUCUCGAGUCUCUAAUGAAAUUUACAGUCCGACGUAACAUGUAAAUUACGAGAACUGUUAUUCACAAUACUCUUAACACUUAUUGACAAGGCUCAUUUUGAUAAUAAUGUAAUAUAAGAAUAAUCCUAUGGAGGCUAAAUUUAUAGAUAAAAUUGGCAAAUUAAAUGAUGUGUCGUCAAUAAGAACAAACAUGUUUAUCGACGCUUAAGUAAUAAUUCAAUUAUCAACUUUCAUAUCAUUUAAAUUACAAAAUUUUGUCUCAAAAAUUGGUCUUCCUAACAUUAGUCGUAAUAUAAACAUGACUAAACAAAGGUAGAGAACUGUUGUCAUCCUAAAACCUCUACAUGUUAUGGUUUAUACGUUCUUAUUCACUUGCAAUCUUAAUAAACAAAAAAAUUAAGUCAACCUCUCUUAAUUUGGUGUCUAGCAAAUAUUAACAAUCUGCAAAACAUUUAUAAACUGCCAUCUGUCAGCGUUUAAUCUGAUAGUUAAGUUGGAAAACUCUUUAAAAUUAUAUUGCACGGCUGAGUCCUGUGACUGCUGCAAAACAAACCCUGCACCUGUGUUGUUAUUUGAGAGACAUAAUCAGAACACGUAAACAUUAGUUUAGUAGAUUAUAAAAAUAAUAUAAAAGCUGCAGGAUAGUUUUAUCUUAAACAUUAGGGUUGAUCAACCAGGUUGAAAAUCUAGAAGUCAAAACUGGAGAUUGUCAUUUAGGUCCUGUAUUCGACCUUAAAAAUAAAUUGAAAUUCAUCUGCAUAAAUAGCUUCUCGAUGCUUACACGAACGAGUCUUCCCCCGUGCAAAUUAAUAUAUAAAUUAUGUUAAUUAGUCUUCUGCUUAAUUAUUAAAUUAUGCAUGGUCUACUAUCAAAAUACAAGAUUAAACGAAUUCCUCCAUGUAAAUAAUAAUAAUAAUAAUAUUAUGACCUUAGGUCUAUUUUAUUAUGGAAGUCAAUCCCCAAAUCCAUCCCUCAGUGACUCAGUGGACUCUAUCUUGUUAUCCAUAUGAUCAAUCAUAUCAUUAUGUUUGUGAUAAUUAUAUGCAGGCCUCUAUAUUAAGGGAAAUGUUGAUGGGAAUGCACACAUAAGGUACAAUAUUAUAGUAAGGAUCUUGUAGUUCAAGCAGUUACUAGUGUUUAUGCACCCGGAGUUCUUUGUUUGAAUAUCUUUCGAGUGUCUGAAUCAUCAUUUCAUUGUCUAUAUAUUUAGAGAGCUCAUUUUGUUAAGUCAAAAACUUCAUCCUAACUUUAUCUAUAUAGAAGUGAAGAUUGACAUUUUUAUAGUGUCAAUAGUAGCUUCAUUUUACUGUGAUAAAUUUAACGUUUGAUUUUACUAUCGUCCAUUUCAAUAUGACAUUUGCCCAGCCAAAUGAUAGAAGCUACAUAUGUGAUUUUUUUUUCUUUCCAAAUUCUAAACUACUUUAUUUUUUCUUCAAACUUGAAAGUAUGGGGCAACCGCACUACUCUAAACAACUGGCACAACUCACAUAUUGUCAAAUAAGCUGAAGAGUAAACGAUUAUCAAAUGUUGGAUUGCCUUACAUCAUACUAUAAUGAACAUACUAUUCAAAAGCCCAAUUUACUGAGGAGUUUUAAUUUGGGCUGCAUGACUCCGGGCUGAGCCUCAAAGCUUGGAUCCAAUGGGCCUACAAAUCAAAUUCGAUCCGACACUAAAUUACGACCCACUGGACCAAAGUAGGGUCCGAAAGGGCAAUUCGGUCAAUCGAUCCCUCAUUCCCACCAAAUAUAAUUGCUCGGGUUCACGUCACUCGUCCUUUCUUAAGCCCUAGAAACCCUAGCUCUCUCGGAGGCGCCUCUGCUGAUACCGCGCAUCUCUUCUGGUACGUGAUUUUUCAGUCCAAAACUUCAUAAUUUCCAUCAAUUGUCUGAUAUUGUUUCGAUUAGGGUUUGCUUUCAGUCUUUAUUUGUUAGAGUUUCGUCCUUUUUAAUUAUUUUUUGAGGUUGAUUUGGGCAUCUGGAUCUCUUGGAUCUUGAUUUUGUUAAUUUGAUUUGGAAUACGUUUUGUUUUGGUGUGCUUGGAUUGAAAUGCUGUUAUUUUUGUGCUUAAGUAGGUCAAAUGUUUGUUUUUUACUUGAUUAUGGUGGGAAUAAAUGAUUCUGGAAUUGGGUUUUUAUAAAUUAGGGGCUUUGAACAAGUGUGAUAAUUGUGGAAUCUAGAUUGAUAUGUUUGACUGAGCUAGAAAUGGGGAAAGGGAUCGAACUACCGUUACUGGUUUUCAUUUUGCUUUUUUAACACAUUGCUUAAGAGUGUAAGAUUUGACAAGUGAAUAGCUUUUGUAUUAUGUUUUUGUUUGGUGGUUUUGUACUUGUUGACUUGCGUGCAAUAGCUCCGAUGAACUUAUAUUGGAUUAUCUUUUCUGAAAUGCAAAAGCGACAAUGAGAGUUAGCGUUCUGAAUGAUGCUCUUAAGAGCAUGUACAAUGCUGAGAAAAGGGGCAAGCGCCAGGUCAUGAUCAGACCAUCGUCCAAGGUCAUUGUCAAGUUUCUUUUGGUGAUGCAAAAGCACGGUAUGCAUCCAUCAGUUAAAGCUAUACAUCAUUUUCGUUAUUUCAAAGUUUCUAUGUGAGUUGUUAUUUUUCUGGGUGUAUGGAUAGUAAUAUUUUUGGUUUUGCUAUGUAGGAUACAUUGGCGAGUUUGAGUAUGUUGAUGAUCACAGGGCUGGUAAAAUUGUGGUCGAGCUGAAUGGAAGGCUUAACAAGUGUGGGGUUAUCAGCCCUCGUUUUGAUGUCGGCGUUAAGGAGAUUGAGGGAUGGACUGCAAGGUUGCUUCCCUCUAGACAGGUUAGCCCAUUUUUAUCAGUUAGCUAUUUCAAGCCUAGAAACAGGACAUAUGUCUUAGUCGAUUCUUUUGAGGAAACGUAUAUAGUUUGGAUUUGUAACUCAUCUAUUUUUGAGCAAAACAAAAUUGUAAAAAAAUGUUAUUGGCAAGAUUAUAUAUUAUUGAUCAUGUCAAUGGUGAUUGGUCUAGCUUUUCACCUGGCUCCUGUUUGAGCUUUCCUGUAAUGUGCUUCAUGUAUCAUAUCAGAUCUUUUGUGUCAGAUGAACUUUGAAUUCUCGUUUUUUCUGCUUGAUCGAAUGUUAUGCAUUGUGUUGUAUUUCUUAUCCACUUAAGCUUACGGAUGUUUGGUUGAAGUUGCAGUUUGGAUACAUUGUGCUGACAACAUCUGCUGGCAUUAUGGACCACGAGGAGGCUAGAAGAAAGAAUGUCGGUGGUAAAGUGCUUGGUUUCUUUUACUAGGCAAAGCUUCAACGAAUGAGAAUCGAGUUUUCCUGUUUCUGAGAGGAGCUUUGGGGUGUACUUUUGAACAUCUUAGGAUACGUCUAUGUUUCAAUUUGUGUUUGUUUUGGAUGCUGAUAGAGAUUACUGAAACGUUAUUUGCUUUACUUUUAUCUUAUGGAAUCCAAAUUUUGGCUUCAAGCAAGUAAUGCUUUUGCUUUGUAUGUUUUUCUUUGAAUAACGAAUGGAUGAAGGUUGGUUGUUAUGAAAGAUGCUGUGUUAGCUUUUUAAUGCUAUAUGCUCGGCAUCGUUCUGAAAAUGGACUUGAGCUUGCAUAUUGUACUCUUUCAAAUUAAUAUCCAUCUGUUGGUCGGUAAUCUGCGACUUAAGUUACUUGAGGAGAAAGGAAGAUUAGUUAUUAAACCGCGGGUGUUCUUCACUUGUAAGUGAGAAGUCGUAGUUUCAAUUCUCACUUUGUAAGUGAGAAGUCUUAGUUUCGAUUCUCGCUAAAAGCGAGUUUGAACAACAUUAUUGCUAGCCUUUUUUUGUUAAUGUAGAUAACAUCGUUUGUUAAAAAAAAAAACGAUCUUGUUUGAUCGUAAGCCCUCCAUUCCUCUCAAAAUUAAGGAAAUGGAUUGGUAUUGGGCAAUAACAGUAAAUUCGAACUAAAUGGAUAGUUUUGAAAACGACAGAAUUAUGGGUCUUAAAACGGUGAAGAGUACAAACAAGUCUGAAGUGGUUGAGGGGAUCAUGUUCCAAUUUUUCUUCAAGUUAUUGAUUAAAAGAUAGAGAAUCAUCAAAACCAUACAAAAUGGACUCCUAAGUGCUUUAAUGGUCCACGUGGAUCUACAAAAUCCCACAAUAAAACUCAUGCAUGGUUAAUGCGCGGAACUGUUACUAGCACUUUAAAAUAUUAUGCUCUUCGUUUUAUUUUUUAUUUUUCAUACAUCGGUGAAGUGCAGAAUGACUUCGAGAAUAUCCUAUAAACUAUUGUACGUUUAGAUUACCGAGAUAAAAAAAAAGAAAAGAAAAAUGUGAUGUUUGAGAACAAGAGACUACAUAAACCAGCAGGGAUUUUAUUAAUGCCAAUACUGGAGGACUGUCCCCCCUUGACCUAGCAGUAGUGGAACUGGUGGUGGCAUAAGUAGUACUGGUUUUUGAAGCAUGAUAUUAAAGUUAACAACAACACGAUUAGCAUGGCCCCUGAGGAAGGAUGACACGCUUAAAUCGGAAAACAACACAAAGAUAAAAGAUUGCGGAUACUGCCAAAGAUCUGUAGUUGCCCUAGCUACCAUCAAAGCCAACCAACAUGACUUCCAAAUUUCAAUUAGCUUUUUCGUCGUCGCUUGCGUCAUCUUCGUUGGUAGUAGCAACAACAUGGUGACCACCAACUUGACCACCACCAAUGGUAUCUCCGCCGCCACUCCCGACUUCCAUUGGCAACGAGGCGCCGAGGACGAAGAAGUUGGAGAAGCAAGAAGGUAGAUGAUGAUGGUGUUCAAGAGCUUUUCAUGUUGGAAGGGUGAUAAAACAUGGGCGCGUUAUGACGUUUUGUAGGUGAAGGGAAGGUGCGGGUAGAGUAUCU
rnacentral:lncRNA from 1 species